rnacentral:lncRNA from 1 species
CAAAAAAAAAAAAGAGCACGCAAUGUAUGAUUGAUUCUGUUUAUAUGAAACUCUAGAAAAUGUAAAUAAAAAACCAGGUGAGUUUCUGAGACUGGAAUGAAACGGCAAGGAGAGAUUACAAAAGGGAAUGAGGAAACUUUGGGCGAUGAAGGAUAUGUUUACUACCUCGAUUGUGGUGAAGGUUUCACGGAGUUGACAUUUAUUAAAACUUAUCGAAUGGUACAUUUAAUAUGUACAGUUUAUUAUAUGUCAAUUACACCUCAAUAAAGUUAUUGUUUAGAAAGAAUUGCUAUUUAUUCCUGUUCCUUGGUUCUUAAACUGCCAAAUUUUUUCCUUUGGGUGUUUCAUAAAUUAGGAUAAACCGCUGCUGCCUUGUCUUGGUGAGGAUAUUUCUUGCCUCUUAAAUCUGACCCCCACUCUCUCCCCAACUAAUCUCUCAUUAACUGGACAACAAAAGGUGAAGGAAGCGCAGAACAGAAGAGGGAGACAUUCCCCAGAAAUCCUUAAUUACUGAUUCUUUUCAUUCCCCAUCUAACAUUGUUUCUGAGUUCUAGAACAGUAGGUUUAAUCCGCCCAGGGGGACCUUAUUCCAGAGCAGAAAUUGUAGGUGGGGAGAGAAAGGGAGGGAAGGGAGAGCAAGAGUUUAUUACAGUCUUUGGAGGGUGGGAUGGAUGGGAAGAUGUAUGAAGUUUAAAAACAAAGCAUAUCUAUGUCCUGUUUAUGAUUUUUCUUUGUUAGGAUUCUUUAUUUUGUUUCAUGCAAGAGAGGAUUCUUUAUUUUGACUCAUGAAAGAGGAAGUUUUAUAAAGAUUGGGAAAUACUGUUUUAGGAUAUUUCUAUUACCUUUGAGUUAUUAAUUCUUAACUUCUGGAAGGGUUUUGAAAAUCAGAGGCCCUUUCCCCUGGAAAAUGAACAAUGCUUCGUGUUUUGUAAGUGUGUACUGAGUAAGGGUUCUAUAGAUGCAGCUCCCAAGUGCUCAUGGCUUCCAGGCUCAGAGCCUGUAUCUUCAAUCACCUUGUUUUCAGAUGCCCUCAGGGCUCUUUCAGGGUAUGGGGAGCCCUGGACACAAUCUGUGCUCCCAGGAAGAAGUAUUUUUAAAAAUGAGUCUGACUGGUAAACAGUGGAACAAUGAGCGUAUACAGGUCUUGUAGCCUUUAGAGAGGAAGCAGGAAGUGAGCCUUGGUGAAGAAUAUCGAUUUUAUUUUCUGCUAGUUGUGUAAUCAUGGGCAAAGCAUAUAACUUCUCUGAAUCUCAUGGUUCCUUUUAUUUAAAAAGGAAGAUAAUAAUAUCUGCCCAAUCUACUUUAUAAGCAUCGUGUGAGGCUCAAUUAAGACAUUAUUAAAAUCUGGCUGUGUAUGUGCAAUAACUCUCAAAGGUAAAUAAUUAUUUGCACAAAAGGAUAGGAACUACAAAAGUCAAAGGAGGCUUUAAUAAUGCACUUGAAUAUAUGCUCUUGAAUUGGGAUGAAUGAAACGACUUCCAGAAUGAUGGAGAUGCUAUAGAGACUGCAAGAGUACUGUACAGAUGCCAGAGAUGAAAAUCAAUUCAUUAGCCGUUGCCACUAAGGUUGUGCAAAUUUUCAUCGAAAUCUUUCCAUAAUCUGAUGCUGCAGGAUACAUGCUGGGGGUUUAUGAGGUCCCCUGUGUUGUCAUAAAUGCUGUCCCUCAAGUGACUGUAUUCCACAUGGACUGUCCAGAUGUUCUCACAGAGUAAUGCUAGUACCAGUGAAGAAUAAAACAGGUUUGCAAAAUUUACAGCUGCUUAACAGCAGUUUUUUAAAAUACCUGUCUAGGCUGUUAUUAUAAAAGUGAGUGUUGAGUACACCAACCUUGCAGGAGUUGGGAUGGAGUCAGUGCUGAAGUGCCAUUUUGCCUUUUCUUCCUCAAAGUAUAAAGCUUUUAAAGAGGUUGUAAAUUUUCCCGAACAGCAUUUCAGCAAUUCAUAAAUCAUUUGGUUUUGAAAACUCCAUGCCUGUGGCCACCUCCUCUCCCUCCAAUUCCAUUGUAUUGGCUGUGGUGACACCUCCAGUGCAAACUCAUUUAUAGCCUGGGCAUCAGCAAACCCGAGCUGCUUGAACACCCCACAGGGAAGAAAUUAUUCCAUCAGGGGCCUCUUAUCGUCCUCAUCAUGCCACUAAUUUCUGCCUGAUUUAAAUGUGCAUUUGCCGCUACCUAUUAUUUGCCUGGUGCUGACGCCACAGGUGCCAUUAGCAGAGAGGGUCUGGCUGUCUAUCUUUUUCUUUCCUACUGUGUCAGAUUGGUAUUCUGACAUUUCAAAAGAGAAAGCUUGGAGGUGAUUGGAAUCUAGGUCUUGGUGUGCCCUUAGCAAAGCACUCUGUACUACAUUAAAAGUCACAGAUCCUAGGCUCCUGUUCUGGCUUUGCCAUUUACAGGUCACGUAAAUACAGAUAAUUUACCCAGUCUUUCUGAGUCUCACUUUCCCAUUUCAGAGUGGGACGGCAAACCAAGGGUUUCAGCCUGUUGGAUAACAUCUCACUUUUAGCACCUUUGGGAUAUCUGAAAUGCAGAAGCAGGUGAUGUGGUUUUAAUUAACAUAAAGUGACAUUGUUAUAGGACAUCCUCCUUUAUACUGUCAAAUACUUUUUUUUUUUUUGUCUUUUUGCUAUUUCUUUGUCUUUUUGUUGUUGUUGUUGUUGUUGUUGUUGCCAUUUCUUGGGCCGCUCCCGCGGCAUAUGGAGGUUCCCAGGCUAGGGGUCCAAUCGGAGCUGUAGCCACCAGCCUACGCCAGAGCCACAGCAACGCGGGAUCCGAGCCGCGUCUGCAACCUACACCACAGCUCACGGCAACGCCGGAUCGUUAACCCACUGAGCAAGGGCAGGGACCGAACCCGCAACCUCAUGGUUCCUAGUAGGAUUCGUUAACCACUGCGCCACGACGGGAACUCCUAUACUGUCAAAUUCUUAAUCUCUGAGUCUGGAGGUACAAGGACAAAUAUUUGUAGUCAACAAAAGAAUGGCUGAGAUGCACACCAUGAGCCUAAAUUGGGGAAAGUCACAUAUUCUGGACACUGCACAGAGGCAGAGGAAGGCCAGAUGUUAGACUCUGAAGGAGUGACCUCUGGGCCUUCUCUGUCUGACCAAAGAAGCACCAGCUGUUCCUUGGCAUCAUUUGGUUUCAGGAUUCAAUAUCAAUAUGAUGGAGUAAAUCGUGGUACCCGCCUCAUCCUUCCCAUCAGUGAGCUUGGUUGGGGGCAUGGGCGGGGGGCAGACACAGUUGGCACCCACUAGAUUUCUACAUUUAGUCCUUCCCUACAUUUCCCAGGCUUUAAGUUAUACAAAUUUGGGGGAUUAUCUGUUGCAGUUCUGAUGAGUGGACUUGGAACACAUGUGUUGGUGCCACUUAGAGCCAAAUUUCCACUCCCACCCAAUUUCUGUUAUCCUGUCUUGGCAACAUGAGCCUCUAUGGCUCUAAGAUGGAGCUGGCUGUCCAACUAGCACUGGACUUGAGCAAGAAAUAAACCUUAAAACCUUGUUGCAGAUGCAGCUUAGAUUCGACUCCUACUCUGGGAAUUUCUUUUUCUAAAAAAAGAAAGUUAUUUAGAAGCAAUUUCAGUUCCUAAGGAAGAGUGUUCUAAGAGAACUUUUCAAAAAUAGACUGGUCAAGAAAAAAAUAUUGUCCCAUCUAAUGAGAUACUGAAUUCUGGGUCACAACAGUGUUUAAGAAGAGUUUACAUGCAAAGAUGCUGUGAGGUAGCUGUCGAGAUCUUCCUGCUGCCUCUUCUCCCCCAGACGGUGCCUGGGAAAGGCUAUGUGAGGGUAAGACAGAGUUAACUCACUAAACGAUGGAUUUAUGGAAAGUGUACCAAGCACGCUUCCUUUCACCAAAGUCAACGUACUUUUUUGUGAUUUCUAAGGAAGAAGACUCCAGACUCAGCUUACUGGAUUUUCACUGUCCUUUUAUAGGACUAUUAAAGCAGAAUGACUUUGAAAUGGGCAGCGGACACUUUUCUUUUCUGAUUUACUAGAUCUCUUCAGGCCUUAGGCUACUCUUGCCUUUAGGAUUGUUGCCAGGCAACCGUCUAAAGCCCUUGGUCUCAAUCACUUCAGAGAAGCUCAUCCUUUAAGAGAGUCAAACUUAGUAGUUUCUUUUGACCCCAGUGAAAAGCAAAAGAUUGACCAGCAUUUUGAAAGUUGGCCUGUGGUACCUUCAGAAUGUUCUUUGCUAUUGAGGGUGCUGGUUUUGGCUUUUGGCUUUCUUACUCUUGGGCCACAUAAUAGCAGCUCAUUCCUUCAAUAACCUUCACUGGUUAUGCUAGGAAAAGGAGGUAACAUGGUAGCCAAGGGGAUCACUACUCAGCAAACAAGUGAGACUGUGGUUCUCACCUUGAAAGAGGUAUUAGGGCACUAGGUGAGUGAGAGAUCGGGCUGGGAAUGGCACAGCGAGGUAGAGAAAGUUCAAGAUAACAAGUCAGUUGUGUGCAAACAUAAUAACAUACCUGAAUAAGAGAACCGGCUGCCAACAAUCCAGAAACUGACUGGAGGAAUGUUUAACAUUGCUAUUUUAAACCAAAACUUUUUUUUUUUCAGAAAAAAAUAGCACAUAAGGAGCUUAGAGCUCCUCUAGUCCAAAUUACCCAAUUUUCAGGAGUUUGAAUACCAGCAGACAAAAAUAUAAAGUGGUUCCUGACAAUCCAGGACUGACACUCAAGCCUCCCAAUUUCCAACCACUGCCUUCUGUAUUAUAUCCCUAAUACAUUCCUUGGAGAUGUCCUAUGCAGAUAAUUUUUGGUAAAACUCACCCACCGAACAAAAGAUGGCCUCAAAUUGUGGAGUGUCUGUGGCAUUCAUUUAUUCAUUUAUUUAUUGUUUCUGAUUUCAAGGGGCUUUCUUGCUUAUGUGAAAAUGGUAUUCACUGAUCCAGACAUUGACUUAAAGGAGAGAGGUGCAUAUUCCUUUCCUUAUUAAGCAUGUCAUGCUUUCCAGGGUUCGAGUCUUAAGCAGCAGUGAUCCACAGUGCCCCCAAGCAGCAGUGAUCCACAGUGCCCCCUCCUUGAUUUCUGUUUGCUGAGGUGUGAUGGUUAAUGCCACUCUCUCAGCCUCAUGAACAGACAGAUUCAGCUCACCUAUUCUACUCUUCCCAGAGCUUUUCAGGGGCAAGGAAGAUGGAAAGUCCUCCCAGAACCAUUCAUAUAGGUUGACAUCCCCUUCUUCUUUCAGGACUGUGUGGCUCCCAUGGGGCCAACCUCUUUCCAGGAAAAGCAGUGCUCUCAUGCUUACCCUUAGACUUUCCUUCCGGGGCCCCCGGGCUUUGGUCAGGCUCAGAGAGCAAACAUGCAGCCUCUCUUGAUCUAGGUUCUGACAGCUGCCCUGCUGGAGAUGGGAGCUGAGCUGUGAGAGUGGAGGAGCAGGUACAUUUUUAGGAUCAUGGUUUUCCAGGAGUCCCAAUUUGAAUCUAAAAUUUAGUUCAUGCAGAAGACCUAAAUAAACAUUUCUCCAAGGGAGACAUACAGGUGACCAACAGGCAUAUUAAGAGAUAAUCAUCAUCACUAAUUGUUAGAGAAAUGCACAUCAAAACUACAGUGAGGUACCACUUCACACCAGUCAGAAUGGCCAUCAUAAAAAAGUUUACAAGUAACAAAUGCUAGAGAGAUUGUACAGAAAAGGGAACCUUCCUACACUGUUGGUGGGACUGUAAAUUGGUACAACCACUAUGGAAAACAGAUGGAGAUUCCUCAGAAAACUGAAAAUAGAGUGGCCAUGUUGUUCUACAAUCCCACUUCUGGACAUAUAUCCGGACAAAACCAUAAUUUGAAAAGAUAGAUGCACCCCUCUAUUCAGAGCAGCACUAUUUACAAUAGCCACGACCUAGAAGCAACCUAAAUGUCCAUCAAAAGAAGAAUGGAUAAAGAGGUGGUAUAUAUGCACAAUGGAAUAAAAAAGGAUGGAAUAAUGCCAAUGGCAGCAACAUGGAUGAACUAGAAGUUAUCAUACCAAGUAAAGUAAGUCAGAUAGAGAAAGACAAAUAUAUAAGAUCACUUAUAGGUGAAAAAUAAAAAUAAUUUAAAAAAGAAUGUAUAUAUGUAUGUGUGACUGGGUCACUUCACUGUAUAGUAGAAAAUCAACAGAACACUGCAAACCAGCUAUAAUGGAAAAAAUAAAAAUCAUUUAAAGACCAUUUAUACGUGGAAUCUAAAAUGACCUAUAUGAACUUAUCUACAAAACAGGAACAUAUUCACAGACAUAGAGAACAGACUUGUGGUUGCCAAGGGAGAUGGGUGUAGGGGAGGGAUGGGAUGGGAGUUUGAAUAUAGCAGAUGCAAAUGAUUAUAUACAGAAUGGACAAAGAACAAGGUCCUACCAUAUAGCACAGGGAAAUAUACUCAAAAUCCUAUAAUAAACCAUAUGAAAAAGAAUAUAUAUGUAUACACAUUUGUAAUAUAUACAUUUACAUAUAUGUUAAACUGAAUCACUUUGUUGUAUAGCAGAAAUUAACACAACGCUAUAAAUCAAC